rnacentral:ncRNA from 1 species
UACCUGGUUGAUUCUGCCAGUAGUCAUAUGCUUGUCUCAAAGAUUAAGCCAUGCAUGUCUAAGUAUAAGCAAUUUAUACCGUGAAACUGCGAAUGGCUCAUUAAAUCAGUUAUCGUUUAUUUGAUAGUACCUUACUACUUGGAUAACCGUGGUAAUUCUAGAGCUAAUACAUGCUAAAAGCCCCGACUUCGGAAGGGGUGUAUUUAUUAGAUAAAAAACCAAUGCCCUCCGGGGCUCCUUGGUGAUUCAUAAUAACUUAACGAAUCGCAUGGCCUUGUGCCGGCGAUGGUUCAUUCAAAUUUCUGCCCU